ensembl:snoRNA SNORA71 Small nucleolar RNA SNORA71
CCCUGUAUCGAAAGUGAUUGUGGCAUGGUGGUUGCCUGGUCAUUGAUAAAUCAGGAAGACUAAACUGAAAGUCUUUCCCGUGUCUGCUGGAUACUCGUUUUCAGCCAGACCCUGGAUCUUUCAGACA